rnacentral:rRNA from 1 species
AUGAACGCUAGCGGUGUACCUAACACAUGCAAGUCGAACGGUCGCCUUGUGCGACAGUGGCAAACGGGUGAGUAAUGCGUUGGCACCUACCCCCUGACGGGGAAUAACUUUGAGAAAUCGAAGCUAAUACCCCAUAGUCUCCGAUGUAUGUCGGAGUAAAGAAGUAAUUCGUCAAGGGAGGGGCCUGCGUCCUAUCAGCUUGUUGGUAAGGUAAUGGCUUACCAAGGCUAUGACGGGUAGCUGGUCUGAGAGGAUGGUCAGCCACAUUAGGACUGAGACACGGCCUAGACUCCUACGGGAGGCAGCAGUUAGGAAUCUUGCGCAAUGGGCUCACUGCCUGACGCAGUGACACCGCGUGCCGGAUGAAGGCCUUCGGGUCGUAAACGGCUUUUUUGUCGGACGAAUUUUGACGGUACGGCAAGAAUAAGCUCCGGCUAACUACGU